AACGAACGCUGGCGGCAUGCCUAACACAUGCAAGUCGAACGAGACCUUCGGGUCUAGUGGCGCACGGGUGCGUAACGCGUGGGAAUCUGCCCUUAGGUUCGGAAUAACUCCCCGAAAGGGGUGCUAAUACCGGAUAAUGUCUUCGGACCAAAGAUUUAUCGCCUUUGGAUGGGCCCGCGUUGGAUUAGCUAGUUGGUAGGGUAAAAGCCUACCAAGGCGACGAUCCAUAGCUGGUCUGAGAGGAUGGUCAGCCACACUGGGACUGAGACACGGCCCAGACGCCUACGGGAGGCAUCAAAGGGGAAUAUUGGACAAUGGGCUAAAGCCUGAACCAGCAAGGCCGCGUAAGUGAUGAGGGCCGUAGGGAUGUAAAGCUCUUUUACCCAGGAUGAUAAUGACAGUACCGGGAGAAUAAGCUCCGGCUAACUCCGUG
rnacentral:rRNA from 1 species